rfam:Dipodomys ordii contig_7086, whole genome shotgun sequence.
GGUAAUGUGGCUUAGUGGUAGAGUGCUUGCCUAGCAUGCAUGAAUCAAAUCCUUGGCUCCAUUACUCAAUACCA